AUGCGCGNCCUAUCAUGCNAGUCGAACGCGUCUCCGUUAAUGAUUUUAGGUGCUUGCACUUGAAAGAUUUAACAUUGAGACGAGUGGCGAACUGGUGAGUAACACGUGGGUAACCUGCCCUUGAAGUAGGGGAUAACACUUGGAAACAGGUGCUAAUACCGUAUAACAACCAAAACCACCUGGUUUUGGUUUAAAAGACGGCUUCGGCUGUCACUUUAGGAUGGACCCGCGGCGUAUUAGCUUGUUGGUAAGGUAACGGCCUACCAAGGCGAUGAUACGUAGCCGACCUGAGAGGGUAAUCGGCCACAUUGGGACUGAGACACGGCCCAAACUCCUACGGGGGGCAGCAGUAA
rnacentral:rRNA from 2 species